rnacentral:rRNA from 1 species
UGAGGAAUUUUCGGCAAUGGGGGAAACCCUGACCGAGCAACGCCGCGUGCAGGAUGACGGCCUUCGGGUUGUAAACUGCUUUUCUUUGGGACGAGCAAGGACGGUACCAGAGGAACAAGCCCCGGCUAACUACGUGCCAGCAGCCGCGGUAAUACGUAGGGGGCAAGCGUUGUCCGGAGUUACUGGGCGUAAAGCGCACGCAGGCGGUCUCUUAAGUUUGGAGUGACAGUUGGUGGCUUAACUGCCAAAGUGCUUUGAAAACUGAGAGACUUGAGGGCUUCAGAGGGACACGGAAUUCCGGGUGGAGUGGUGAAAUGCGUAGAGAUCCGGAGGAACACCGAAGGCGAAGGCAGUGUCCUGGGGAGUACCUGACGCUCAGGUGCGAAAGCCAGGGGAGCGAAC